rnacentral:misc_RNA from 1 species
GAUAAUACUACUUCGAAGGAAUAAACAUAAGAUCAUGAUGAGUCUUCUUUCUACCAGAAGCUGCAAUUCUUGAAUCGUGAUCGAUCUCAGGUUACGUUUUGUUCCCUCUGAAAAUGAAAAUGGAUCGAAUAUGGAAUAAUUUUAUUUUUGAGAACUAUGUUUAUAUGUAAAAAACUUGAACUUAGAUGAAAAUGAAUGAUGCAUAUAUAUUAUUUAAGUUCAAGUUUUUUACAUAUAAACAUA